UCAUCAAACGCAAAAAUACAACACUCACUAAAAAGCAUUUUCGAUGGAGGUCCCUCUACUGGGUUCCCAUGAGAACGAAAACCGUCAGCUGAGUGGAGAACCGACUCCAGCGAUGGAUCUUGGGUGCGGUUCCUCCCUUGUUCACCAUGGGAGGGAGCGCAAUGAUCCGCCGUACAU
rfam:Diplodia seriata DS_831_scaffold_v01_164, whole genome shotgun sequence.